rnacentral:rRNA from 1 species
CGUGUGCUUACAAGUAGUCAGAGCCCGUUAAUGGGUGAUGGCGUGCCUUUUGUAGAAUGAACCGGCGAGUUACGAUUUGAUGCAAGGUUAAGCAGUAAAUGUGGAGCCGUAGCGAAAGCGAGUCUGAAUAGGGCGUUUAGUAUUUGGUCGUAGACCCGAAACCAGGUGAUCUACCCUUGGUCAGGUUGAAGUUCAGGUAACACUGAAUGGAGGACCGAACCGACUUACGUUGAAAAGUGAGCGGAUGAACUGAGGGUAGCGGAGAAAUUCCAAUCGAACCUGGAGAUAGCUGGUUCUCUCCGAAAUAGCUUUAGGGCUAGCCUCAAGUGAUGAUUAUUGGAGGUAGAGCACUGUUUGGACGAGGGGCCCCUCUCGGGUUACCGAAUUCAGACAAACUCCGAAUGCCAAUUAAUUUAACUUGGGAGUC